UUCUUUUGCCAACCCCCAUAAUCCCAUGCCCAAACAUAAUGCAACGCGGUGACAUCGCGCUAUUGCGCCAUUUUGCGACUACUUGGCGGUCUUUUUUGAAUCGGCAUCAAUUUAUCAGGCGGCCUGCAGUGCACUUACAGCUCGAACUGUGGUGAGUAUAUCUGGAAAUUAUAUCAUGUAAUGUAAGUGUUUAUGCCCCCCUAUAUAAUGAUAUUACUUGUAAUACGUAUCAAAUACAUCGAAGUGUUUUAGCUGUAAGACGAUGGGUAGAGAUAAUUAAUUAGAAAAUGGAAACGUUAACUGUUAUAUCCCUGAAAUAACGCCUGAGUCACUAAAGCCAUCUAGCGCUGAAAAACAGUUCAAAUAAAGUUUAAACUUAAGACGUAUGUUUUUAAUUAUUAUAUUAUUAUUGUUUCGGAUAAUUUAACGUUAAGCUUUUCAUCAUGAAAUUCCAUCGAUUCGAUGCUUUUCUUUCCUUCAAUUGUGUCAUGCGAAUUAGUUAUGCAGAUGUUUAUAGUAACUUAAUAUUUUGCUGUACAAGUUGUUUAAUUAAUUUUGGAGUAAUUAGGCUAUCUCCUUUAGCUGUCAGAUUUCUACACAGGAUGUAAAGAGGCUCCUUUUUUUUUAUUAAUUUAAGCAAAAACAGCCUUUUCUACUACAAGCUCUAGUUUUAUAUUUGGGGUUCAAGUUUAUAACUGAGGUCUAUUAUAGUAUUUAAUAUUGUGUGAUUUCAGGUGUUGUGGAGCUAUACUAUAUGAGGUUAUAACAUUUGUUUUGUUUUUGCUUUUAUCUCCUUGCCAUGGUCUGAAGAAGCCAUAUUAUUGUAAGGUUGAUGACAAAUGAGGUCAUGGCCUGUUUCAGUAUGAAGUGGGGGAAGGGGAAGCUUGCCUUCACCAACAUCAAUCUGUACACUGUUGUCACAGAGAGUGUCCAGAAAACAUCAAAAGAGACGGGGCAAAUAUUGCAGCGGCCACCGCCUUUUGUUUAAAAUAUGCCCCAGCAGAGCCGUCGCAAGGAGGGUGAGAGGCCCUGUGCAAAGCUGACAUGCGAGGCCCUCUACCAUUUUGCGUGCGUGUGUGUGUGUGUGUGG